rnacentral:rRNA from 1 species
AUUGAACGCUGGCGGCAGGCCUAACACAUGCAAGUCGAGCGGUAGCACAGAGAGCUUGCUCUCGGGUGACGAGCGGCGGACGGGUGAGUAAUGUCUGGGAAACUGCCUGAUGGAGGGGGAUAACUACUGGAAACGGUAGCUAAUACCGCAUAACGUCGCAAGACCAAAGUGGGGGACCUUCGGGCCUCAUGCCAUCAGAUGUGCCCAGAUGGGAUUAGCUGGUAGGUGGGGUAACGGCUCACCUAGGCGACGAUCCCUAGCUGGUCUGAGAGGAUGACCAGCCACACUGGAACUGAGACACGGUCCAGACUCCUACGGGAGGCAGCAGUGGGGAAUAUUGCACAAUGGGCGCAAGCCUGAUGCAGCCAUGCCGCGUGUGUGAAGAAGGCCUUCGGGUUGUAAAGCACUUUCAGCGGGGAGGAAGGCGGUGAGGUUAAUAACCUCACCGAUUGACGUUACCCGCAGAAGAAGCACCGGCUAACUCCGUGCCAGCAGCCGCGGUAAUACGGAGGGUGCAAGCGUUAAUCGGAAUUACUGGGCGUAAAGCGCACGCAGGCGGUCUGUCAAGUCGGAUGUGAAAUCCCCGGGCUCAACCUGGGAACUGCAUUCGAAACUGGCAGGCUAGAGUCUUGUAGAGGGGGGUAGAAUUCCAGGUGUAGCGGUGAAAUGCGUAGAGAUCUGGAGGAAUACCGGUGGCGAAGGCGGCCCCCUGGACAAAGACUGACGCUCAGGUGCGAAAGCGUGGGGAGCAAACAGGAUUAGAUACCCUGGUAGUCCACGCUGUAAACGAUGUCGAUUUGGAGGUUGUGCCCUUGAGGCGUGGCUUCCGGAGCUAACGCGUUAAAUCGACCGCCUGGGGAGUACGGCCGCAAGGUUAAAACUCAAAUGAAUUGACGGGGGCCCGCACAAGCGGUGGAGCAUGUGGUUUAAUUCGAUGCAACGCGAAGAACCUUACCUGGUCUUGACAUCCACAGAACUUUCCAGAGAUGGAUUGGUGCCUUCGGGAACUGUGAGACAGGUGCUGCAUGGCUGUCGUCAGCUCGUGUUGUGAAAUGUUGGGUUAAGUCCCGCAACGAGCGCAACCCUUAUCCUUUGUUGCCAGCGGUCCGGCCGGGAACUCAAAGGAGACUGCCAGUGAUAAACUGGAGGAAGGUGGGGAUGACGUCAAGUCAUCAUGGCCCUUACGACCAGGGCUACACACGUGCUACAAUGGCAUAUACAAAGAGAAGCGACCUCGCGAGAGUAAGCGGACCUCAUAAAGUAUGUCGUAGUCCGGAUUGGAGUCUGCAACUCGACUCCAUGAAGUCGGAAUCGCUAGUAAUCGUAGAUCAGAAUGCUACGGUGAAUACGUUCCCGGGCCU